AUCACUUCUCGGCCUUUUGGCUAAGAUCAAGUGUAGUACAAUAUUAGAAAACUUAGGAACAGAAUGUUUCAGUUGAAGCCAUUUCAAUGGUGUUUUGUUUUGUUAGCCAUUAAAAUUAAGUAUCUCGCCCAUGGAUCCAGGGGCUUAACAAGAUAAGGAAGA
rnacentral:snRNA from 1 species